rnacentral:tRNA from 1 species
GUAGUGGCUCAGUGGUACAGCCCCUGCUUCGCAUGCGGGGAGACCUGGGUUCGAUUCCCGGCUGC